CCUACGGGAGGCAGCAGUGAGGAAUAUUGGUCAAUGGGCGCGAGCCUGAACCAGCCAAGUAGCGUGAAGGAUGAAUGCCCUACGGGUUGUAAACUUCUUUUAUAAAGGAAUAAAGUGAGGCACGUGUGCCUUUUUGUAUGUACUUUAUGAAUAAGGAUCGGCUAACGCCGUGCCAGCAGCCGCGGUAAUACGGAGGAUCCGAGCGUUAUCCGGAUUUAGUGGGUUUACCGGGAGCGUAGAUGGGUUGUUAAGUCAGUGGUGAAAGUUUGCGGCUCAACCGUAAAAUUGCCAUUGAUACGGGCAGUCUUGAGUACCGUUGAGGUCGGCGGAAUUCGUUGUGUAGCGG
rnacentral:rRNA from 1 species